rnacentral:rRNA from 1 species
UACGUAGGGGGCAAGCGUUAUCCGGAUUUACUGGGUGUAAAGGGAGCGUAGACGGUGAUGCAAGUCAGAAGUGAAAGCCCGGGGCUCAACUCCGGGACUGCUUUUGAAACUGUUGAACUAGAUUGCAGGAGAGGUAAGUGGAAUUCCUAGUGUAGCGGUGAAAUGCGUAGAUAUUAGGAGGAACACCAGUGGCGAAGGCGGCUUACUGGACGAUGACUGACGCUGAGGCACGAAAGCGUGGGUAUCGAACAGG